CAGUUGCUCUGAGAACCCCUGUGUGAAGGAGCUCAACUGCCCGCCCUGUGACUGUGCAUGCAUCCCUCCCGACCCUGCAGUUACAGACACAGCAAGACAACCAACCAUAUUAAAUUCCACAUAUAUAUGGUGAUCCAAGUCCAUAAGCUACCUACCUGAAGACAGCUAUGAUGUUCAGAGGCGAUGACAUUCUCCAAUCGACAAGGAAUUUAGUCAGUACUUGUUGAACAACUGAUACUGAAUUCUAUGUCACAAUACCUUGCACAAACUUAUUUAUGUUGUUAUAUUUUGUUGUAGUUGUAGGCUCACAGAAAAUGAGAAUUGAAAGAAAUGCUGGAACCCAUUUAGUCCACUUGCUUGCAAAUACUUUCAGCUCUGAAGACCUUUAUUUGAAAGUUUAUAUGGAAACCUAAUAUAUACAAGAGAGAGACUUGCAGCACUUUGAAGACCUUAGGAGCCUAAGCUCAGCCCUCUGUGACAGGUCCUAAGUGCCAAGAAUCUUUCAGAAACACUGCUCGAAAACCAUUGUUCAGGUUCAAUCCCUUCAUUUUCUAGAAAAAGAAGCUAAAGCAAGGCUAUGAGGCAAGUUAGCGCAGAACUAGACCUUCUGACUCAAUUUCAUCUUUUCUAACACAUCACUACUUUUUGAGUAGGAACAAUGCCCUGUGUCUCUUGUGUCCUCCACCGGGGCCACCACAGACAGAUAGCAGUGCUCAGUACAUGUUGUUUAAUAGAACAAUUGAUGUAUACCUGCUUUUCAACUUGAAAAGGCCAAAUCACCACCCAAGAUUCAUUAUGUGCAGAAAAAGCCUGCAUGCUUUUUAUCAAAGGAGCUAAGGGUCACCUCAGUCACCAUACCUAACCUGCUUAGCUGUCACCAAGGACGUACCCCAAAACCAAUAAGAAGAUUAAGAUGUCAAACAGUAAAGCAGCUGGGGCAUGUAAUGGACUUAAAACCACAAAGAGGAAGAAGACCUAUACUGAAGAAAGUUCUUCCUGCCCAGGGCAAUUAAUGUGGUGAACAGAUGGGGAGAGAUAUGAACUAUUUUCAUGCUUUAAUGGGAAGAUAAAAGACACAAGGAAAUAAUAAGCAGAAAAUCCAUAGUGCAGGGGCAAACAUAAAGACAUGCUUUUCUUUUUCCAAGCAAUAUUUAAUUCUAAGCAGUAAUAUUUGCUCAAAGUUUUACCCUGUUAGUUGUUUUUCCAUCAUUAAGAAGGAACUGAGUACUGGAGAGCUAUAAUAAGACAUUCAGAGAUAAAUCACAGAGUUGUGCAGGGGUAGCAAUGGAAGCAAUGAAGAUGAAAAUGAGCUCCUGCAUUCUGCUAUACACCUUAUCCCUGGCUGAGUUUGCAAAAAGGCAAGCUUCCCUUUAUUCAGAAGGUACCAUACAGUACAUUUAGAAAGGAUGUUUACAAUGAUGAUCAUGAGGUGGUAUUUGUAACAGCUAAGAAGCAUCAGGAUAUAUGUUCAAUACAGUUUUACUGUGGA
rnacentral:lncRNA from 1 species